CUUUAUUGCAGCCAUUCCAACUUUUAAAAUAGCCAAACUGUGGUAUGUGCUCUAGACAGCAAUUAGCGGCUGGCCCAUAUAGCUGUGACGUGAUAAAAAGAGGGCAUUUAACAGGUUACUUCAAACAUCAUAACCAUUACCGCCUGUUACCGUGGAUCUGUUCUUUGUGAGAGUCCGCUCUUCUUCUGAGCCAUAAUUCCUUUUUUGCUGGGUAUGCCUGUAGCUGCUGUGAUUUUUGCC